UUCCACCUUUCGUCUUUCCUGCCGCAGA
rnacentral:piRNA from 1 species